rnacentral:rRNA from 1 species
UUUGAUGGCGACCGGCGCACGGGUGAGUAACACGUAUCCAACCUGCCGAUGACUCGGGGAUAGCCUUUCGAAAGAAAGAUUAAUACCCGAUGGCAUAGUUCUUCCGCAUGGUGGAACUAUUAAAGAAUUUCGGUCAUCGAUGGGGAUGCGUUCCAUUAGGUUGUUGGCGGGGUAACGGCCCACCAAGCCUUCGAUGGAUAGGGGUUCUGAGAGGAAGGUCCCCCGCAUUGGAACUGAGACACGGUCCAAACUCCUACGGGAGGCAGCAUG